rnacentral:rRNA from 1 species
CCUACGGGAGGCAGCAGUGAGGAAUAUUGGUCAAUGGACGGAAGUCUGAACCAGCCAUGCCGCGUGCAGGAAGACGGCUCUAUGAGUUGUAAACUGCUUUUGUACAAGGGUAAACCUGAAUACGUGUAUUCAGCUGAAAGUACUGUACGAAUAAGGAUCGGCUAACUCCGUGCCAGCAGCCGCGGUAAUACGGAGGAUCCAAGCGUUAUCCGGAUUUAUUGGGCUUAAAGGGUGAGUAGGCGGAUUGAUAAGUUAGAGGUGAAAUGUCCGAGCUUAACUCGGGAACUGCCUCUAAUACUGUUGAUCGAGAGAGUAGAUGCGGUAGGCGGAAUGUAUGGUGUAGCGGUGAAAUGCUUAGAGAGCAUACAGAACACCGAUUGCGAAGGCAGCUUACCAAUCUAUAUCUGACGUUGAGGCACGAAAGCGUGGGGAGCAAACAGGAGUGGAUACCCUAGUAGUC